rnacentral:lncRNA from 1 species
AGUAGCACUAUCCAGGGAUGCAGAACAUCAAUCACUGCAGUCCAUUCCCCAUGUCUGGUUAAUCCUCAAGCCCGGGGACUGUUCCAACAUCUUGAGUUAUCCCAGUGUUUAGUUCAGCUUCUAUUCUAUCUCCCAUAACUGCAACUGGACUUCCUCGUUUGACUUUCACUUUCCAAAGAGCAGAUUAAUUUCAUGGGAUCUGCAGUGGAAAACUCAGCUGUGCCAAGAAACCUAGACAGCUUUGCAGGAGCAGACAUUUCAAAUUGCUGGGCUGCAAACAACUUGGAGCUACUUGUAAUGCCAUGUGAAAUGAAAAGAGUUUUCCAGUUAAUCUGCAAGUGAAAAAAAAAAUAUCCCAGUGUUAAAAGGAAUGCUUUUUGGCUUGGGCUCCGAUUUCAGUGGGUUUAAGAUGAUUUAAGUGGGGGCUACUGGAAACUCUCUGCAGUGUUCUGUACAGAGUUUGGUUCUUGUGCUGCUCCUUUGGUGUCCACUGUGUUCACAUAGGGCAGUGACCAUCAGCCCCUGUGGGGUGGUCUCCUCUUGGGCGUGGAGGUUGGGAAGAUUUUUCUGGAGCAAAGCAACUUCAGUGUGUUUGUGCAGGUUGGCAUGCUUGCCAUCUAGAAAGGACAGUGCUUAUAAAGGGAAUUACCUGAUAAAGUGCAAAGUAUGAAUUCCAGACCACUUUGGCUGUUCCCUGCUUUACAUCCCAUGGUGAAGCAGAUGCUCCUCAAAAGCCCAGGGCCAGGCAGGUGCCCAGGUGUGUCUGGCUGCUGGCUCCUGGGUGCUAAAGUCCAAACUUGAAGUCUGCAGUGCCAAAGGCUAGGGCAGGGGAGGGAAGUGAAACAAAAAAAACCAGAAGCUGAGGGAGUAUUUUAAAGAAAUGGGUUACUCUGUCAUGAUGCAAGAAGCCAUGACCGGGCUGAAGGCAGUGCCCUGCUCUGAUUUCCCUGAUUCCAGGACUUCUUUCAGUUCCUUCUAGACACUUGAGAAUAAGGAAGAGUGCAGAAAGGCUGUGCUGGGCCUUAAAUUCACCUUCAGGAACAACUCUUGGCCCAAGCUGCCUUAUCACAAAGAAUGAUAGCAGCACAUCACUGCAGGAGAGCUUGGAGUUGCUACUGCAGUCCCAGGGAUGUGCUGGAGUUGUGGAGACCUCCCUGGGCAGAGAGGAAGCCUUGCCAGCACCUGGCUGUCCUAAGCAUCCAUUUAUAGAUCUGAAAUCCUAGUUUAAUUCCAUAAGGGUGAGUGUAAGGUGUUUUCAGUUUACCCAUUCUGGACAACUUUUUGCUGCUGGAGUAGACAGAAGUGCUUUGUAGAGGUUUAUAAUAGCUCUCAACCUAAGU